AGCAGCCGCGGUAAUUCCAGCUCCAAUAGCGUAUAUUAAAGUUGUUGCAGUUAAAAAGCUCGUAGUUGAACCUUAGGCCCGUGCGGGCGGUCCGUCCUCUGGGCGAGCACUGCCUCGUCGCGGGUCUCACCUUCUGGCGAGCGUGGAUGCCAUUCAUUUGGUGUCUGCGGGAACCAGGACCUUUACCUUGAAAAAUUAGAGUGCUCAAAGCGGGCUCUUACGCUUGAAUACAUUAGCAUGGAAUAAUGAAAUAGGACGACGGUUCUAUUUUGUUGGUUCCGGGAUUGUCGUAAUGAUUAAUAGGGAUAGUUGGGGGCAUUCGUAUUCAAUUGUCAGAGGUGAAAUUCUUGGAUUUAUUGAAGACGGACUACUGCGAAAGCAUUUGCCAAGGAUGUUUUCAUUAAUCAAGAACGAAAGUUGGGGGAUCGAAGACGAUCAGAUACCGUCGUAGUCUCAACCAUAAACU
rnacentral:sRNA from 1 species